UACGUAGGGACCGAGCGUUGUCCGGAAUCAUUUGGGCGUAAAGAGCGUGUAGGCGGCUUGUUAAGUCUUGCGUGAAAUCUCGGGGCUCAACCCCGAGCGGUCGUGAGAAACUGGCAGGCUAGAGUGCGGGAGAGGAGAGUGGAAUUCCUGGUGUAGCGGUGAAAUGCGCAGAUAUCAGGAAGAACACCCGUGGCGAAGGCGGCUCUCUGGAACGCAACUGACGCUGAGACGCGAAAGCGUGGGGAGCAAACAGG
rnacentral:rRNA from 1 species